AAGCGUCACUACGCGGUUCUCUCUCUCUUUCAUAAUUUACUUUCCUCCACUCUCUGGCCAUUCACUCUUAAUUUUUCAGGGAGGUUUCCUCUGCAACUAGCUUUCAUUUUCCUCGUCCAGUUUUCACAGUUCACAGUGGAUUUCCCUAGGUCACAGUGACCUUUAUUUUCGAUCUUGGUGGUUUCCAAUGGCUUUGAGCACCCACAGGGCCUCCUCAUCUCGUGAUUGGGCUGAACCACCUCCCCAGUGGAAUUUCGAUGUUUUCUUGAGUUUCAGGGGUGAAGACACCCGCACGGGUUUCGUCUCCCAUUUAUUCCGCGAACUGCAGUACCGGAAAGUAUUUAAGACUUUCAAGGACGACCGAGAGCUUGAGAUCGGAAGGGUUUUUAGAGCUUUCCAAGUGUUUUGUAGAUUAUGCCAAAGGGCUUCCAUUAGCUCUAAAAACUCUGGGAAGUUCUUUACCGGAGGUGCAAAAGGCUUGAACAAUUACCGGAUCUCCCAUCGAAUGAGGACUUAAACGUAUAUGCAGACGAUUGUGAUUCCUUAAAAAUGUUGUCAGAACCGUCACAGCAGGGCAGAUUCCCCAAAUUGACGCACUUUAAUUUACGUGCUGUCAAUUGCUUUGGUUUGAUUGACAAUGAAGGCUUCAAUAAUGGAAUAUUUUCAAUGCUAAGGAGAUUGGCCGCUCAGGUAUUCUCUCUCUCUCAUAUUGAACAUGGAUAAUUAUUUCUUUGGUAUAGGGGGAUCUCUCCCGAUUCUCUUCACUCAUUCGAAUACCACCACCGCGGUACGUCAUUCCAUAUUGUAAGUCCUGGAAGUAAAAUUUCAGACUGGUUCGAUACUCAAAGCGAAGGAGAUUCAUUGACUGUGGAACUGCCUCCGGAUCGGGAAUCAUGUACAUCAGAGUGGAUGGGCAUUGUGUUUUGUGUUGUUUUUGCCGGUAAGAAAGAUCCUAUCGCUCUCGAGGCUCCUAUAUUGGCAAUUCAAUGUUUAUCGCCUUGGAUUGUUACCUGUCCGGCUUUGCCAAACCAUCGAAUUGUUACCGAUCCGGUUUUACCAAAACAUACGAUGGGAGAUCAUCUUUGGGUGUUUUUUAUCGGUCGUUGUCAAAUCCAGGAUACCACAAGCUGCUCUAAUAGGUUCUCAUUCAAGCUUAAUCACGGGAUUAACAAUCCUAUUCCAUGCUCGUAUUGUGUGAAGAGCUGUGGGGCUCGAUUGUUGUACGAGCAAGAUUUGAAAAACCUCCUCAAUGGAACAACCAACAUCUUGUGAAUAUUGUGACAAGGACGAAGCAGAGGAAGGGGAAGGUCCAAGAUGUGCAAUUGCAAGUGGUAGCCCUACCAAAGAAUCAUUUUUCAAAAGACUCAAGGCAUGAAUACUAAUCGAUCCAUGGGGAGGAACUACCUCUUUCUGGUUCUGAUUCUCGUACAGCUGGGCUGCUAGUGGUCUCUUUGGCGACAAUGGUCUUCCGCUAUUCUUCCUUUCAGUACUUGAGGAGCCCAUCCACCACAAGAUUUGUGGAGCAUUGGCCAGGGCUAUCUCUGCCUCCGUUAGGAUGCCAUGUUGCUGCUGUGAAGACAAGGCUGAUCAAGAUGUUGCUUUGGUUGGUUUGAAAUUUCUCUUCCAUAUUCCAUUUCAUUUGUUGUCCUCAUUCCUUCUAACUGCUCACAUUCAUUCCUACAAAUAGUAAAUAUUGUUGCAAUUUUUAGUGUCCUGUAAAUUAAUUUUCUAAGAGUAAUGAGUAGAAGACUAGAAGUAGAAGUCUAGGACCAUGAUCCAAUUCAAUGCUUACUUUCUAUGUUCUCUUUCAUGAAAUGUUAAUGCAUAAUGCCCGUGAGAUAUCAUUACAUUCUUUACUAACGUUCUA